rnacentral:rRNA from 1 species
GAACGCUAGCGGCAGGCUUAAUACAUGCAAGUCGUGGGGCAGCAUGAGUAGCAAUACUUGAUGGCGACCGGCAAACGGGUGCGGAACACGUACACAACCUUCCUUCAAGCGGGGAAUAGCCCAGAGAAAUUUGGAUUAAUACCCCAUAAAUAUAAAAAUGGCAUCAUUUAUAUAUUAAAGCUUCGGCACUUGAUGAUGGGUGUGCGGCUGAUUAGAUAGUUGGCGAGGUAACGGCUCACCAAGUCUACGAUCAGUAGCUGAUGUGAGAGCAUGAUCAGCCACACGGGCACUGAGACACGGGUCCGACUCCUACGGGAGGCAGCAGUAAGGAAUAUUGGACAAUGGACGAAAGUCUGAUCCAGCCAUGCCGCGUGAAGGAUUAAGGUCCUCUGGAUUGUAAACUUCUUUUAUAUGGGACGAAAAAGAGAAUUCUUUCUCACUUGACGGUACCAUACGAAUCAGCACCGGCUAACUCCGUG